UUUUUCACCCCAAAUCCACAUCACAGCUUUGCACAGCGCUGUAGGAUCUCAUGGUUGUAUGGUCUUUAAAACCCAACCCUUGUGGGAUCCCACAGUGCCACGAUCCUAAAGGUCCUCCCACCCCAACCCUUGUAGGAUGCCGUGGUGUUAUGAUCUUCAAGGUCCCUUCCACCCCAACCAUUGUAGGAUCCCGUGGUUCCACAAUCCUACAGGUCCUCUCCAUCCCAACCGCUGUAGGAUCCCACAGUUCUGUGGUCUUUGAGAUCCCUAAAACCCAACCCUUGUGGGAUCCCAGGCAGCCACGAUCCUAAAGGUCCUCUCCAUCCCAACCCUUGUAGGGUCCCGUGGUGUUUUGAUCUUUAAAGUCUCUUCCACCCCAACCAUUGUAGGAUCCCAUGGUUCCAUGAUCCUAAAGAUUCCUCCCAGCCCAACCAUUGUAGGAUCUCAUGGUUGUAUGGUCUUUAAAACCAAAACCUUGUGGGAUCCCACAGUGCCAUGAUCCUAAAUGUCCUCUCCACCCCAACCCUUUUAGGAUCCUGUGGUGUUGCGGUCUUCAAGGUCCCUUCCACCCCAACCAUUGUAGGAUCCCGUGGUUCCAUGAUCCUAAAUAUCCUCUCCACCCCAACCCUUUCAGGAUCCCAUGGUUCCAUGAUCCUAAAGGUCCUCCCAUCCCAUCCCUUUUAGGAUCCUGUGGUGUUGUGGUCUUCAAGGUCCCUUCCACCCCAAUCAUUUUAGGACCCCGUGGUGUUAUGAUCCUAAAUAUCCUCUCCACCCCAACCAUUGUAGGAUCCCAUGGUUCCAUGAUCCUAAAGAUUCCUCCCAACCCAACCACUGUAGGAUCUCAUGGUUGUAUGGUCUUUAAAUCCAAACAUUGUGGGAUCCCACAGUGCCAUGAUCCUAAAGGUCCUCUCCACCCCAACCCUUGUAGGAUCCCGUGGUGUUAUGGUCUUUGAGAUCCCUUCCACCCCAACCCUUGUGGGGUCUCAUGGUUCCAUAAUCCUAAAGGUCCUCUCCACCCCAACCCUUGUAGGAUCCCGUGGUGUUAUGAUCUUUAAGGUCCCCUCCACCCCAACCCUUGUAGGAUCAGGUGGUGUUAUGAUCUUUAAGGUCCCUUCCACCCCAACCAUUGUAGGAUCCCAUAUUUCCAUGAUCCUAAAGAUUCCUCCCAACCCAACCACUGUAGGAUCUCAUGGUUGUAUGGUCUUUAAAACCCAAACCUUGUGGGAUCCCACAGUGCCACGAUCCAAAAGGUCCUCCCAUCCCAACCCUUGUAGGAUCUCUUGGUGUUAUGAUCUUUAAGGUGCCUUCCACCCCGACCAUUAUAGGAUCCCGUGGUUCCACGAUCCUACAGGUCCUCUCCAUCCCAACCGUUGUAGGAUCCUACAGUUCUGUGGUCUUUGAGAUCCCUACAACCCUAACCUUGUGGGAUCCCACGCAGCCACGGUCCUAAAGGUCCUCUCCACCCCAACCUUUGUAGGAUCCCGUGGUGUUAUGAUCUUUAAGGUCCCCUCCACCCCAACCAUUGUAGGAUCCCGUGGUUCCAUGAUCCUAAAUAUUCCUCCCAACCCAACCACUGUAGGACCUCAUGGUUGUAUGGUCUUUAAAACCCAAACCUUGUGGGAUCCCACAGUGCCAUGAUCCUAAGGGUCUUCCCAUCCCAAUCCUUUUAGGAUCCUGUGGUGUUGCGGUCUUCAAG
ensembl:lncRNA